rnacentral:rRNA from 1 species
UACAGAGGGUGCGAGCGUUAAUCGGAAUUACUGGGCGUAAAGCGUGCGUAGACGGUUAUUUAAGUCGGGUGUGAAAGCCCCGGGCUCAACCUGGGAAUUGCAUUCGAGACUGAAUAGCUAGGGUACGGUAGAGGGAAGUGGAAUUUCCGGUGUAGCGGUGAAAUGCGUAGAUAUCUGGAGGAACACCGGUGGCGAAGGCGGCAUCCUGGACCGGUAUUGACGCUGAGGCGCGAAAGCCAGGGGAGCAAAGCGGG